CCCACCCUCGCUGCGCUGACUUUGGUGCCUAUUGAAAGUGAAGUGGUACAGAUAUUUCGCUGCACUUACUGGGACACACGUGCCGGGGCCCGCUGGUGAAAAGGAUCGAGGUGUUCUUUAAGAAGAUCGGAUAUUUUGUGUGGAUGUCAGAAGCCUCGUAAGCCAUGGGUAUCAUAGCCUUCUUGAAAUCACAAUUCAUCUGUCAUCUUCUUAUAUGUUACAUCUUUGUAAUGACUGGACUCAUCAUAAACUUCCUUCAAUUGUGCACAUUAAUUAUUUGGCUAUUCAACAAACAACUGUACAGGCGGAUCAACUGCAGAUUGGCUUACUGUAUUGCCAGCCAAUUGGUUUGGCUGCUGGAGUGGUGGUCAGGUACAGAAUGUACUCUUUUUACUGAUCAAAAGAAUUACGUUAAGUAUGGAAAAGAGAAUGCUAUUGUUAUUCUCAACCAUAACUAUGAGAUUGAUUUUCUUUGCGGAUGGGACUUCUGUGAAAGGUUUGGUGUCUUGGGGAGUUCAAAAGUACUUGCGAAGAAAGAGCUAGCUUAUGUUCCUCUGAUUGGUUGGAUGUGGUAUUUUCUGGAGAUAGUGUUUUGUAAGCGGCAGUGGGAGGAAGAUCGCAAAAACGUUGUCCAGAGCUUACUUAACCUCCGUGAUUACCCCGAAAUUUUUUGGUUUCUGAUUCACUGCGAAGGAACGCGCUUUACAGAGAAAAAACAUCAGAUUAGCAUGCAGGUGGCAGAAGCCAAAGGUUUACCCAAGCUGAAGCACCAUCUCCUCCCUCGAACAAAAGGCUUUGCAUUCACUGUUCAGUGUCUGAGGGGUGUAGUUGCAGCUGUGUAUGAUGCUACACUCAAUUUCAGAAAUGGUGAAAAUCCAACUUUACUGGGAACUUUACAUGGGAAAAAGUACCAUGCGGAUCUCUAUGUUCGACGGAUCCCAUUAGAAGAGAUUCCUGAAGACGAAAAGGAAUGUGCCAACUGGCUCCAUAAACUGUAUCAAGAAAAGGCAAGGUUAUUUCAUGGAUCUUCUGCAAGAGGAAUACUACAAAAAUGGCACUUACCCUGGCACAGCAAUUGUCCCACCAAAACGACCGUGGGUCCUUUUAAACUGGCUGUUCUGGUCUGGGUUACUGCUCUUUCCUUUGUUUAAGCUAGUUGCCAAUAUGAUCAUCAGCGGAUCGUCCCUGAUUCUAAUUGCAUUUCUGCUUAUCAUCAUUGUGGCCUCUGUUGGUAUGCGAUGGAUGAUUGGAGUGACAGAAAUAGAGAAGGGCUCCAGCUACGGUAACAAUGAAUCAAAGCGAAAAAAUUAAUUUCUGCGGAGGAUUGUACUUCGAAUGGAGUCAAGAUAUAUAUUUUUGAAAAGAACUUAAGGCAGACGCAGGGUUGGAGGAUGAUGCGCCUAAGUUACUGUGAUUCAUUCGUGUACUGAUCACUGGGUAGAGUGGUGUCUUAAUCUGCGUAGAAGGAUAGAAAGGGAGUCAUAUCCUUUAUGGUGUAUGUGGUACAUGAACCCAUUCACACGGUAAUGAGACAUGUUGAAAUUGGAUAUCGUUGCAGAAUUCCACAAUAAUAGUGCCACUAAAAGAUGUUGAGGCUUUCAAUCUAAAUGGAAAAUGACCUUUUUCUAAAAAAAACUGGUGUAACAGAAGAAUUUAGUCUUUUUCUAAUAACAUAAAAUUGUGCUUCUAACUUA